CUCACGGCGCAGCGGCGGCGCGGGCGGAGGAGGAGAGGUUGCCGCGGCGGGAAGGGCGCGGUUUGGGCCCCGCCGGCUGCCGUAGUGCGCUCCGCCGCCUCAGGGGCGCCGAGGCCGGCGUGGGGGGGGCGGCUGGGUCCGGGCCGGUUCGGGCCGGUUCGGGCCGGCUUGGCCGGCCUGGCCCGGUGAGCGUUUUCUCCGGGGCCCGCCAUGGGGAGCCAAAAAGGUUCGGGUCCUUGCUGUAAUUAAGGCAGCCCCGGAUUACAUUCCCUGCAUUUAUUGUUCAAGGGAAGGGUUUGGAUGAUGAUGGGUGUUGCCUUAUAUCUGGAGCCCCUGAAUUUCUGCAGUAACUGUGGAAGCAAAGGCUCCCUUGAAAUCUUACUCAAAUGAGAUCCUGAGUGCUACCCUGGCUGGGCUGGGUUUUCCCAAACUCCCUGAGCAGCAGAAGCAGUGGAAGCAACAGGGACUGUAAAAGGAACUUAGCAGGAGUCCGGUGCUAAACAAAGAGCAGCUUGUUCUUCAUGCAAGAGUUGAUCGUGGAACUCCUUGCUAAAGGAUGGUGUGGAUGUUGCAGGUGUACAGGGGUUCACAGAAUCACAGAAUGGGUGAGGUUGGAAGGCACCUCUGGAGAUCGUCUAGUCCAACCCUCCUGCUCAAGCAGGGUCACCUAGAGCAGGCUGCCUAGGACCGUGUCCAGACGGCUUUUGAAUAUCUCCAAGGAAGGAGACUCCACAGCCUCCCUGGACAACCUGCUCCAGUGCUCAGUUCAGGCACCUUCACAGGAAAGAAGUUUUUCCUCAUGUUCAGACUGAACUUCCUGUGUUUCAGUUUGUGCCCGUUGCCGCUUGGCCUGUCACUGGGCACCACUGAGAAGAGUCUGGCCCCAUCCCCCCCCAGUCUUCUCCAGGCUACACAAUCCUGGGUGGACCUCUGGUUUCCUCUACUGCUUUUCAGCUGUUGUUUCCUCGGAGGUGCUCUUGCCUUGCCAUGGGUCCUCCACUGCUAACCUUGUUACAGGUCAUGCUGGAGACACUUCCUGCUAACCCAGCGCCACCUUACACACGGUUGCAAUGGUUUUCUAAAGUUAUGGAAGUGGGGCAGGGUGUGCAAACAUUGGUCUUUCGUAAAAGGGAGGAGCAUGUGCCAGAUACAACUCUGACUUUCUUGGAGAACAAGCACAGGGGAAGGGUGUGUAAAAGAGCAUAUGAAUUUCUUACAAGCACCUAGCAAAAAAGCUGCCCUGCUUUGUAACAAACCAGUAUUGGGAACUGUUUGCCAGAUUUAAAUAUAUCAAGAAUGGAGCAGCUUUCAAAUUUCACUUCUGGGGAAAGCAGGAUAUGGAAGAGAAUCAAAGCAAAUGUCCACUUAGAAAGGGCUGUGGAUCUAUGAUCCAGACAGGGAUGUGGGAAGAUCCCACUCAGUGGGCUGAAGUGGGCUGCUGCCUGGCCAGGAGGAGGGCAAAGAAUAUUUUUUAAUUUUGGUCAUUGCGACACUGAUCUUCCUAUGUUUAAAUAAGAGUCUGGAUAAGGCAGUUGCAGUGGAGUUACUGCAGUGUCAUGGUCUUGAGUAGCCCAUGGGAAGAUCUCAGGGAUUCUUGUGUUUAUUGUCUUCAAAGUCCUUUCAAACUUUCUGGGAGAAAGCAACAUGAAAGAGAGAUACCUAGCAAACUCUUGAAAAUUACCAUUCUUUUCCACAAAUUACCCAUAAGCCGAUGAAUAAAAAGUAACAUUUCCUUACUCAUCUGACACUGAAAAUGAAAUUGAGUCAUCUAAUGCCUUUAACUCAGCAGGAAUUGUGAAGAGCAGGGGAAGAAGAAAUGAUAGCAAUUUUUUUCUCUUUUAGGUGGGCAAAUUCUGUAGGUGUUUUGCAGCUUCUCAAAUCAACCUGUGGCCUGUGAAGAGAGUGUCAUCUUUGGAUGCAGCAGCUGCAGCAGCAGUUACAGAAUAGCUGUGUCCACAAGGGACAGAUCUGUUUGAAUACAGAGGAUGAAGAUGGCGUUAUCAAACUGCCAAGCUUGGUCCUGAUGGUCUAAAACAAAGCAAAAGGGCGUUUCACACAAUGGGUUAAUCAGGAACCCCGGUUAUCAGUGGCAGAGCACAGUGCUUCUGCUUUAUGGGAGAACGUCAACAGUGGUGGGGUGCUGGAAAGCAAAGAAGAAAGAGAAGCCCUUCAUCAAAAUGCAUCAUCCAGACUGAGAGAUGAGGAAUCUUCUCUCCAAAUGUUGCUAAUGCGCCAGAACAGUGGUAGAGGGUGCUUUUACGCUGACCUGCUAGUACCCAUUUGUUUAAGAACCGUCAGGACACUGCUGAGAAUUUCUUUUGAUGACCCUCAGCAGGAAACAACUUAAGAAAAUUUUGUGUGUCUGAGAAGGAAGUGUCAAAGGUAAAGCAUACACAUUGUCCCGCAAGAGAGGAAGUUUUCCUCUGGGUAUUGUCUGGCUGUACAAGAUACCAUCAAGCCUUUGUCAUAAGGAAAUAUGCAAAAUCCAUGUUGCCAUUACACAGGAAACUGAAAGAAGCUUCGUUAGCUUCAGAAAUUGAGUUGAGAAAAACAGCGGUGCCUCGGUAGCAGGUAUUGACUGUUUUUUUCUGGCAGCUGGAGAGAAAGUUCUGAAGUACUUUGAAAUGAUACAGGAAGAAACCAGAAAAUCCUGGUGCUCUUGUUUUAUGACCUGCAGCAUUAAGUUGUCAAGAGAGAUUAUGGAACUGCUUUCACUGAAAGUUUUUAACAUAGACUAAUACCUACUGAACGUGAUCUGUUUGUGGUGGCUUGAUCCUUUACCAUUGUGUAGCUUUGAACUUUAUGACAUACUGAAGUUCCCUUCCAGACCUGCAUUUCUGUGUUACCUGCUGUGCUACCAUGCAUAGUUUAAUAAAAAAGGACAGUAGUGUGAA